CUACGGGGGAUUGCUUAGUACGGCGAGUNGAGCGGCAAAAGCUCAAAUUUGAAAUCUGGCACCUUCGGUGUCCGAGCUGUAAUUUGAAGAAGGUAACUUUGGAGUUGGCUCUUGUCUAUGUUCCUUGGAACAGGACGUCACAGAGGGUGAGAAUCCCGUGCGAUGAGAUGCCCAAUUCUAUGUAAAGUGCUUUCGAAGAGUCGAGUUGUUUGGGAAUGCAGCUCUAAGUGGGUGGUAAAUUCCAUCUAAAGCUAAAUAUUGGUGAGAGACAUUUUAUUGUAUAUGUACAGUGCUUGAUUUUUUGUAAUGGUUUGGUUGAGAUCGUACUUAUAUUUUUCUUUCUUUUCCUUCUUGUUUUUGUUCCUUGCCGCCUACUGGGCCUGCGUCGGUUUGGAUGGUAUGAUAAUGACUAAGGAUAUAUGGCUCUGCUUCUCUGUACUGUUAUUUUUUUUUUUGAUACUGCUUGUCUCUACCGUAUACUGCGUCUUUUGACUAUGAUUUUGGCAUAUUGAUCUUAUUCCUCCCUCUUAACCCCCCUCUCCAAAANGGA
rnacentral:rRNA from 1 species